rnacentral:rRNA from 1 species
UAGAGUUGAUCCUGGCUCAGGACGAACGCUGGCGGCGUGCCUAAUACAUGCAAGUCGAACGCGUCUUGGUUAAUGAUGUUAGGUGCUUGCAUUUAACUGAUUUAACAUUGAGACGAGUGGCGAACUGGUGAGUAACACGUGGGUAACCUGCCCUGAAGUGGGGGAUAACACUUGGAAACAGGUGCUAAUACCGCAUAACAACGAAAACCACAUGGUUUUCGUUUGAAAGAUGGCUUCGGCUGUCACUUUUGGAUGGACCCGCGGCGUAUUAGCUUGUUGGUGAGGUAACGGCUCACCAAGGCCAUGAUACGUAGCCGACCUGAGAGGGUAAUCGGCCACAUUGGGACUGAGACACGGCCCAAACUCCUACGGGAGGCAGCAGUAGGGAAUCUUCCACAAUGGACGAAAGUCUGAUGGAGCAACGCCGCGUGAGUGAUGAAGGGUUUCGGCUCGUAAAACUCUGUUGUUGGAGAAGAACAGGUGAUAGAGUAACUGUUAUCAUCUUGACGGUAUCCAACCAGAAAGCCACGGCUAACUACGUGCCAGCAGCCGCGGUAAUACGUAGGUGGCAAGCGUUGUCCGGAUUUAUUGGGCGUAAAGCGAGCGCAGGCGGUUUUUUAGGUCUGAUGUGAAAGCCUUCGGCUUAACCGGAGAAGGGCAUCGGAAACCGGGAGACUUGAGUGCAGAAGAGGACAGUGGAACUCCAUGUGUAGCGGUGAAAUGCGUAGAUAUAUGGAAGAACACCAGUGGCGAAGGCGGCUGUCUGGUCUGUAACUGACGCUGAGGCUCGAAAGCAUGGGUAGCGAACAGGAUUAGAUACCCUGGUAGUCCGUGCCGUAAACGAUGAGUGCUAAGUGUUGGAGGGUUUCCGCCCUUCAGUGCUGCAGCUAACGCAUUAAGCACUCCGCCUGGGGAGUACGACCGCAAGGUUGAAACUCAAAGGAAUUGACGGGGGCCCGCACAAGCGGUGGAGCAUGUGGUUUAACUCGAUGCUACGCGAAGAACCUUACCAGGUCUUGACAUCUUCUGCUAACCUAAGAGAUUAGGCGUUCCCCUCGGGGACGGAAUGACAGGUAA